GACGAACCGUGCGAACGUUGUUCGGAAUCACUGGGCUUAAAGGGCGCGUAGGCGGGCUGUCAAGUCUGGGGUGAAAUGCCGCGGCUCAACCGUGGAACUGCCUUAGAUACUGACGGCCUCGAGGAAGGUAGGGGCAUGCGGAACUGUAGGUGGAGCGGUGAAAUGCGUAGAUAUUGGAAAGACCACCGAUGGCGAAGGCACUCUACUGGGCCAUUACUGACACUGAGAGACGAAAGCUAGGGGAGCAAAUGGG
rnacentral:rRNA from 1 species